UCUCCGUUGGUGAACCAGCGGAGGGAUCAUUACCGAGUUUACAAACUCCCAAACCCUUUGUGAACCUUACCAUAUUGUUGCUUCGGCGGGACCGCCCCGGCGCCUUCGGGCCCGGAACCAGGCGCCCGCCGGGGACAUCAAACUCUUGAUUGUUAUAGUGGCAUUCUCUGAGUAAAACAUACAAAUAAGUCAAAACUUUCAACAACGGAUCUCUUGGCUCUG
rnacentral:misc_RNA from 1 species